AAAUUAUGACAAAGAAUCCAGGCUGCAGCAGUUGGGAAAUGGAGGUUUACUCAAAAGUAGAAGCUGGGAGGUGAGGAGCUGGAGAGGAUGGUUGCAGGGUGAGCUGCAUCCCAUGUGACCUGUCUACAGACAUCUAAAACAGUUAGCAUGGGUGUGAAACCGUGGCUUUAGUAGACCAGUCUCCAGUUCCUUCUCUAAGCAACUGACCCUGGGAAAUUCUCUAAGCUUUGAUUUCUUCACCUGUCCAACAGUGAUGAACAGCAGUGGCUUGUCAGCGAAAGUAAAUGAACAGCACAGAAAGAUGUGACUUGGACCAGGACCAUGAGUGCCUGCCAGUGCUGGUUGUGAUGACCCUGCAGACAACACUGUCACUGCUCUUGUGACUCCAAAGGCAUGGCUAUCUCACUACCCUUACAUAAGGAUUAUGGUGUCACUGCCAUCUUCCUGCAUCAGCAUGCUCUUCACAUUGUGUUUUAAACUACUCCUCACUGAGGUUUAUGGAAGCUAGAAGAGGGAACAAUAGACAGAUCUGCCACUCUUGAAGAGUACCUCCUUUUGAAGAAUGGAAGCCAAAUUUCUUGCCUUCACCUCUUCCCCAACUGCAUGUUCCUAUAUAAUUUAUCUCAGGCUUGUGACCUUAAGGAUCCCUCCAAUUUCCACUGGCCACAACACCACAACACCAACGCUGGGGUACCUGCUCAGUGAGGAAGGAAGGCUUGUAGGCGCCGUCAGUCGAUUUGUUGCCGGUGCCCCUCAUGGACUUCAUGUGCGAGACCGCCAUGCGCAGGAUGGUCAGCUUGUCUGGCUUCCUAGCCAGUGCACUGCAGGUGGGAACCAUGUCGGAGAGUUCCGUAAUAUAUUGAGUCAUCUUGUUCCGCCUGCGCCGCUCAAUCUCACUGUGGUUCUCUCUUCCCAGAAAGCAAGAGGUCAGGGGGAGGGAAAAAGAGAAGGAUCAGACCAGGGGUCGGUCAGCAGACAUUGGGAUAAAAGAAUACACUGUUAACAUCAGAUAGCCAAAGUCCUGGACCUAACUCAUAAUGGCUCAGUGUUUUGAGUAGUUGUGGACUGAAUCCCUGACACAUCUGUAACUCGGGUCUUUGUGUGGGAAGCAUGGACCUCUCUCUGUGCCUCCUUCUCUAAAUAUGUAUAGGCUCUUCCGGAAUUACACACAUACCUAUGGACUUUUGACCAGGGAGCAUGGAAGAUUAAAACUUUUUAGCAG
rnacentral:lncRNA from 1 species